ACGAACGCUUGCGGCGUGCCUAAGAAAUGCAAGUCGAGCGGGGUUUCACGCUGUCCGAAGUCCACCUUCGGGUGGAUAGAAGACUUGUGAAAUCUAGCGGCGAACGGUCGAGUAACACGUAAGCAACCUGCCCCGAAGCCUGGGAUAACCCGCCGAAAGGCGGACUAAUACCGGAUGUGUUCCUAACGACACAUGUCGACUGGAAUAAAGGAGCAAUUCACUUCGGGAUGGGCUUGCGGCCUAUCAGCUAGUUGGUGGGGUAACGGCCUACCAAGGCGACGACGGGUAGCUGGCCUGAGAGGGUGGCCAGCCGGAUUGGGACUGAGAUACGGGCCCAGACUCCUACGGGAGGCAGCAAUUUAGGAAUCUUGCGCAAAUGGGCGAAAAGCCUGACGCAGCCGACGCCGCGUGAGUGAUGAAGUUCUUCGGAAUGUAAAACUCUGUCCUACGGGGAAGAAGGAUGUGACGGUACCCGUAGAGAAAGCCCCGGCUAACUACGUGCCAGCAGCCGCGGUAAUACGUAGGGGGCGAGCGUUGUCCGAAUUUACUGGGCGUAAAGCGCGUGUAGGCGGCUUUUUAAGUCAGGUGUGAAAUCUUGCGGCUCAACCGCAAAACUGCAUUUGAAACUGGAGGGCUCGAGUCUGGGAGAGGAGAGUGGAAUUCCUGGUGUAGCGGUGAAAUGCGUAGAUAUCAGGAGGAACACCCGUGGCGAAGGCGGCUCUCUGGCCCUGUACUGACGCUGAGACGCGAAAGCUAGGGGAGCGAACGGGAUUAGAUACCCCGGUAGUCCUAGCCGUAAACGAUGG
rnacentral:rRNA from 1 species